UACGAAGGGGGCUAGCGUUGCUCGGAAUCACUGGGCGUAAAGGGCGCGUAGGCGGCCAUUCAAGUCAGGGGGUGAAAGCCUGUGGCUCAACCACAGAAUUGCCUUUGAUACUGUUUGGCUAGAGACCGGAAGAGGUAAGUGGAACUGCGAGUGUAGAGGUGAAAUUCGUAGAUAUUCGCAAGAACACCAGUGGCGAAGGCGGCUUACUGGUCCGGUUCUGACGCUGAGGCGCGGAAAGCGUGG
rnacentral:rRNA from 1 species